GGAUGUGAGGGCGAUCUGGCUACGACAUCUGUCACCCCAUUGAUCGUCAGGGUUGAUUCGGCUGAUCUGGCUGGCUAGGCAGGUGUCACCUUCCUCCCUCACCGCUCCAUGUGCGUCCCUCACGAAGCUGCACGCUGGGUCAAAGAGGACGACCUUCCCCGAAUAGAGGAGGACCGGUCUUCGGUAAAGGGUAUAAGAGUAGCUGCGCUCCCCUGCUAGAACCUCCAAACAAAUUAAGGGAAUUUUAAAUCAGCCUCUUCCAUGUCUCCCUGUAGAACUGCAAUGAACUUGUCAGAUUUUU
rnacentral:snRNA from 1 species